GUAGCAUAAUCAUUUGUUUUUUAAUUAUAAACUAGAAUGAAAGGCUUAACAAAUAAAUAUGCAUUUUAAAUAAUAUAAUAUAAUUUAUAAUUUAUGUAAAAAUACAUAAAUAAAUAAAAGGGACGAUAAGACCCUAAAAGCUUCAAUAUUAAAUAUUUUUUUCCAUUAUUAGUAUAUUAAAAAUAAUAAAUAUUUCAACUGGGGUAGUUGUUUUAAACAUACAUAUUAUCAUAUACAAUUAGAAUAAAAGAUCCUUUAUAUAAGGAUAAUUAGUUAAAGUUACUUUAGGGAUAACAGCAUAAUAAUAAUAGAAAGCCCUUAUUCAUAUUACUGAUUUUGACCUCGAUGUUGAAUUAAGCCUCUUUAUAAAGCAAAAAUUAUAUACGAAAGUUUGUUCAACUUAUAAAAUUUU
rnacentral:rRNA from 1 species